UAGGGAAUAUUGGACAAUGGGGGCAACCCUGAUCCAGCCAUGCCGCGUGAGUGAAGAAGGCCCUCGGGUUGUAAAGCUCUUUUGUCCGGAAAGAAAAGCAUUCGGUGAAUACCCGGAUGUUCUGACGGUACCGGAAGAACAAGCACCGGCUAACUUCGUGCCAGCAGCCGCGGUAAUACGAAGGGUGCAAGCGUUACUCGGAAUUACUGGGCGUAAAGCGUGCGUAGGUGGUUGUUUAAGUCUGAUGUGAAAGCCCUGGGCUCAACCUGGGAAUGGCAUUGGAAACUGGGCAGCUAGAGUGCGGUAGAGGGUAGUGGAAUUCCCGGUGUAGCAGUGAAAUGCGUAGAGAUCGGGAGGAACAUCUGUGGCGAAGGCGACUGCCUGGACCAGCACUGACACUGAGGCACGAAAGCGUGGGGAGCAAACA
rnacentral:rRNA from 1 species